rnacentral:rRNA from 1 species
UGACAGGUGGUGGCAUGGUUGUCGUCAGCUCGUGUCGUGAGAUGUUGGGUUAAGUCCCGCAACGAGCGCAACCCCUAUUGUUAGUUGCCAUCAUUCAGUUGGGCACUCUAGCGAGACUGCCGGUAAUAAACCGGAGGAAGGUGGGGAUGACGUCAAAUCAUCAUGCCCCUUAUGACCUGGGCUACACACGUGCUACAAUGGUUGGUACAACGAGUUGCGAGUCGGUGACGGCGAGCUAAUCUCUUAAAGCCAAUCUCAGUUCGGAUUGUAGGCUGCAACUCGCCUACAUGAAGUCGGAAUCGCUAGUAAUCGCGGAUCAGCACGCCGCGGUGAAUACGUUCCCGGGCCUU